GUGGAACUGUUGAUGUUUAUUGGCUUAUUCUCCUGAGAUUUUUUUUUUUUUGCACCAGUCUUUAGACAAACAAGUUUAGAAAGGUUUGUUAGUGAAGAUCUCAUUACCCUCAUCAGCAUAAAGAAAAGCAAAUGCUAUCAUCUUUGUGCUGUGCUGUUCCUUAGCCUGAGGUAUCAAGGUUUGUUUAUCUGCCAGAUCGUAGUGUGGGUAUAGGCUUCUUCACUGCUGGAUGACUGUAUCCUGCAAUGAGUAAGAUAUGCUCAUAUUUACAGAAGUUGCCGAUGGUACCUAGUAUUCCAGCAGCUGUAGGUACAGGAUCUAGUGUCUGGUCUGUUCCUGGUCUGAAGGGAACUUGCUUUUGAUGAUUAGCUUGACAAGGUUUGUGGGAGGGGUGGCUGCAUUUCAGUGUCAAAUGAUGUGAUCCUUUAUAUGUAGUCUAUGUA